rnacentral:rRNA from 1 species
CAAAUGGCAAGUCGAACGCUUCUUUCCUCCCGAGUGCUUGCACUCAAUUGGAAAGAGGAGUGGCGGACGGGUGAGUAACACGUGGGUAACCUACCCAUCAGAGGGGGAUAACACUUGGAAACAGGUGCUAAUACCGCAUAACAGUUUAUGCCGCAUGGCAUAAGAGUGAAAGGCGCUUUCGGGUGUCGCUGAUGGAUGGACCCGCGGUGCAUUAGCUAGUUGGUGAGGUAACGGCUCACCAAGGCCACGAUGCAUAGCCGACCUGAGAGGGUGAUCGGCCACACUGGGACUGAGACACGGCCCAGACUCCUACGGGAGGCAGCAGUAGGGAAUCUUCGGCAAUGGACGAAAGUCUGACCGAGCAACGCCGCGUGAGUGAAGAAGGUUUUCGGAUCGUAAAACUCUGUUGUUAGAGAAGAACAAGGACGUUAGUAAAUGAACGUCCCCUGACGGUAUCUAACCAGAAAGCCACGGCUAACUACGUGCCAGCAGCCGCGGUAAUAAGUAGGUGGCAAGCGUUGUCCGGAUUUAUUGGGCGUAAAGCGAGCGCAGGCGGUUUCUUAAGUCUGAUGUGAAAGCCCCCGGCUCAACCGGGGAGGGUCAUUGGAAACUGGGAGACUUGAGUGCAGAAAAGGAGAGUGGAAUUCCAUGUGUAGCGGUGAAAUGCGUACAUAUAUGGAGGAACACCAGUGGCGAAGGCGGCUCUCUGGUCUGUAACUGACGCUGAGACUCGAAAGCCUGGGGAGCAAACAGGAUUAGAUACCCUGGUAGUCCACGCCGCAAACGAUGAGUGCUAACUGUUGGAGGGUUUCCGCCCUUCAGUGCUGCAGCAAACAAAGUAUAGCACUCCGCCUGGGGAGUACGACCGCAAGGUUGAAACUAAAACGAGAUUGACGGGUGGCCCGCACACAGCAGUAGGAGCAAGAGCGUUUAAUUCGAAGCUAACGCGAAGAACCUGACCAGGACUAGACAUCCGUUGACCACUCUACAGAAAAAACUUUCCCGUCGGCGACAAAGUGACAGGUGGUGCAUGGUUGUCGUCAGCUCGUGUCGUGAGAUGUUGGGUUAAGUCCCGCAACGAGCGCAACCCUUAUUGUUAGUUGCCAUCAUUUAGUUGGGCACUCUAGCGAGACUGCCGGUGACAAACCGGAGGAAGGUGGGGAUGACGUCAAAUCAUCAUGCCCCUUAUGACCUGGGCUACACACGUGCUACAAUGGGAAGUACAACGAGUCGCUAGACCGCGAGGUCAUGCAAAUCUCUUAAAGCUUCUCUCAGUUCGGAUUGCAGGCUGCAACUCGCCUGCAUGAAGCUGGAAUCGCUAGUAAUCGCGGAUCAGCACGCCGCGGUGAAUACGUUCCCGGGCCUUGUACACACCGCCCGUCACACCACGAGAGUUUGUAACACCCGAAGUCGGUGAGGUAACCUUUUGGAGCCC